rnacentral:rRNA from 2 species
UGGAAGUAAAAGUCGUAACAAGGUCUCCGUUGGUGAACCAGCGGAGGGAUCAUUACCGAGUUUACAACUCCCAAACCCAAUGUGAACGUUACCAAACUGUUGCCUCGGCGGGAUCUCUGCCCCGGGUGCGUCGCAGCCCCGGACCAAGGCGCCCGCCGGAGGACCAACCAAAACUCUUUUGUAUACCCCCUCGCGGGUUUUUUAUAUCUGAGCCAUCUCGGCGCCUCUCGUAGGCGUUUCGAAAAUGAAUCAAAACUUUCAACAACGGAUCUCUUGGUUCUGGCAUCGAUGAAGAACGCAGCGAAAUGCGAUAAGUAAUGUGAAUUGCAGAAUUCAGUGAAUCAUCGAAUCUUUGAACGCACAUUGCGCCCGCCAGUAUUCUGGCGGGCAUGCCUGUCCGAGCGUCAUUUCAACCCUCGAACCCCUCCGGGGGGUCGGCGUUGGGGAUCGGCCCUUUACGGGGCCGGCCCCGAAAUACAGUGGCGGUCUCGCCGCAGCCUCUCCUGCGCAGUAGUUUGCACACUCGCAUCGGGAGCGCGGCGCGUCCAUUGCCGUAAAACACCCAACUUUCUGAAAUGUUGACCUCGGAUCAGGUAGGAAUACCCGCUGAACUUAAGCAUAUCAAUAAGCGGAGG